rnacentral:rRNA from 1 species
AUUGAACAUAAGAGUUUGAUCCUGGCUCAGAUUGAACGCUGGCGGCAUGCUUUACACAUGCAAGUCGGACGGCAGCACAGGGAAGCUUGCUUCUCGGGUGGCGAGUGGCGAACGGGUGAGUAACAUAUCGGAACGUACCGGGUAGCGGGGGAUAACUGAUCGAAAGAUCAGCUAAUACCGCAUACGUCUUGAGAGGGAAAGCAGGGGACCUUCGGGCCUUGCGCUAUCCGAGCGGCCGAUAUCUGAUUAGCUGGUUGGCGGGGUAAAGGCCCACCAAGGCGACGAUCAGUAGCGGGUCUGAGAGGAUGAUCCGCCACACUGGGACUGAGACACGGCCCAGACUCCUACGGGAGGCAGCAGUGGGGAAUUUUGGACAAUGGGCGCAAGCCUGAUCCAGCCAUGCCGCGUGUCUGAAGAAGGCCUUCGGGUUGUAAAGGACUUUUGUCAGGGAAGAAAAGGCCGUUGCCAAUAUCGGCGGCCGAUGACGGUACCUGAAGAAUAAGCACCGGCUAACUACGUGCCAGCAGCCGCGGUAAUACGUAGGGUGCGAGCGUUAAUCGGAAUUACUGGGCGUAAAGCGGGCGCAGACGGUUACUUAAGCAGGAUGUGAAAUCCCCGGGCUCAACCCGGGAACUGCGUUCUGAACUGGGUGAUUCGAGUGUGUCAGAGGGAGGUGGAAUUCCACGUGUAGCAGUGAAAUGCGUAGAGAUGUGGAGGAAUACCGAUGGCGAAGGCAGCCUCCUGGGAUAACACUGACGUUCAUGUCCGAAAGCGUGGGUAGCAAACAGGAUUAGAUACCCUGGUAGUCCACGCCCUAAACGAUGUCAAUUAGCUGUUGGGCAACUUGAUUGCUUGGUAGCGUAGCUAACGCGUGAAAUUGACCGCCUGGGGAGUACGGUCGCAAGAUUAAAACUCAAAGGAAUUGACGGGGACCCGCACAAGCGGUGGAUGAUGUGGAUUAAUUCGAUGCAACGCGAAGAACCUUACCUGGUUUUGACAUGUGCGGAAUCCUCCGGAGACGGAGGAGUGCCUUCGGGAGCCGUAACACAGGUGCUGCAUGGCUGUCGUCAGCUCGUGUCGUGAGAUGUUGGGUUAAGUCCCGCAACGAGCGCAACCCUUGUCAUUAGUUGCCAUCAUUCGGUUGGGCACUCUAAUGAGACUGCCGGUGACAAGCCGGAGGAAGGUGGGGAUGACGUCAAGUCCUCAUGGCCCUUAUGACCAGGGCUUCACACGUCAUACAAUGGUCGGUACAGAGGGUAGCCAAGCCGCGAGGCGGAGCCAAUCUCACAAAACCGAUCGUAGUCCGGAUUGCACUCUGCAACUCGAGUGCAUGAAGUCGGAAUCGCUAGUAAUCGCAGGUCAGCAUACUGCGGUGAAUACGUUCCCGGGUCUUGUACACACCGCCCGUCACACCAUGGGAGUGGGGGAUACCAGAAGUAGGUAGGGUAACCGCAAGGAGUCCGCUUACCACGGUAUGCUUCAUGACUGGGGUGAAGUCGUAACAAGGUAGCCGUAGGGGAACCUGCGGCUGGAUCACCUCCUUUCUAG